AACAUAGAAAGAAGAAAAAGGAAACAAUACUCUAUCUCACUCACUUUCCUCCUCCUCUACUCUCCUCCCUUGUGCCCAUGUCGCCGCCUUGUUCUUGAUCUCAAAUCCAAAACCUUCUUUCCAAUCCACAUCGAUAGAACCAAAUCAUCUCACUCCCAAAUCACUUGCCAUCACAAGCUAUAAGCAUCGGUCUUUGAAGAUGUUAGUAGUGAUAGGACAACAACGGUGGAAAAGAUACACAACAGGAGUAGUGACCUCGAUCCACAACAUGUCAUCAAUUUGAAGAGAUAGUAGUUUCCUUCUGUGAGAAAGUGAAGUUCAGUUCCAUGUCGGUAUCUUCCUGACUUAAAGAAAGUAGGACUAUCUCGAGAUAAAGUUGUUAGAGCGAGGUAUUGCAAGGAUGGAUUCGAGAACGGUGUUCAGAACGACGCUUGUCCGCCUGCUUCUUGCUAUAUUGGUGGCGGUCAAUCUGCUAUUAGAUAUGACACAUGCCAUUCGACAGAUAAGACAAAAAGCUGUGAGGCUGAGGUCAAGGCGCGGGGCCCUGCGGAAACUGCCGAUGCUGAUGACGCAGGCAAUGCAAUGGUAGUAGCUCCAUUCCUGGCUCUGGUUUCCUGUGAAACCAGACGUUGGCCCUGUUUAUUUCGGCUUUUCGCAGCUUUUAGCCACCAGAAGCUGCUGUGGACAGCCAAACACUCAGCUUUUCAGCCAGCUUCUAUAAAAUUCGUUUGGGUAAAAACCAUUCAAAAUCAACAUAAACAUAUAAUCGGUUGAGUCGUCGCAAUAGUAGUAAUCUGUCACUUUAUAGAUCCUGAGUCUUAUGGACAAUUUUAUCUUCCUCCACACGUAAUCCUAAUGAUACUCAGAUUUUCUA